rnacentral:rRNA from 1 species
UACGGAGGGUGCAAGCGUUAAUCGGAAUUACUGGGCGUAAAGCGCACGUAGGUGGUUUGUUAAGCCAGCUGUGAAAUCCCCGGGCUCAACCUGGGCACUGCAGUUGGAACUGGCAAGCUAGAGUAGGGUAGAGGGGUGUGGAAUUCCAGGUGUAGCGGUGAAAUGCGUAGAUAUCUGGAGGAACAUCAGUGGCGAAGGCGACACCCUGGACUCAUACUGACACUGAGGUGCGAAAGCGUGGGGAGCAAAC